GAAAGAGAAAGACAGAGAGGAAGGGAGAGAAACAAAGGGAGGAUUGCUCUUUUUGAUUUUAUUUUUUAUUUUUUAUUUUAUUUUUUUUAUUUUUAUUUUUGAAGAGAAGAAAAGUCACAAUGAGUGAAAUAAAACAAAACACAGCCAGAACCAGCGAGUCUGUGAGUAAAAACAGACAAGAAGUUCAA
rnacentral:ribozyme from 1 species